rnacentral:rRNA from 1 species
GACGAACCGUGCGAACGUUAUUCGGAAUCACUGGGCUUAAAGCGCGUGUAGGCGGAUGGGGACGUCGGUCGCUGAAAUCCCCCGGCUCAACCGGGGAACGGGCGCCGAAACGCCCCGUCUCGAGGGACGUAGGGGGACCUGGAACUUCCGGUGGAGCGGUGAAAUGCGUUGAGAUCGGAAGGAACGCCCGUGGCGAAAGCGAGGUCCUGGACGUCUUCUGACGCUGAGACGCGAAAGUUAGGGGAGCGAACGGG